rnacentral:rRNA from 1 species
UACGGAGGAUGCGAGCGUUAUCCGGAUUUUUUGGGUUUAAAGGGUGCGUAGGCGGACCAGUAAGUCAGCGGUGAAAUACCCCGGCUCAACCGGGGGGCUGCCGUUGAUACUGCUGGACUGGAGUACAGACGGCGCAGGCGGAAUGUGUCAUGUAGCGGUGAAAUGCAUAGAUAUGACACAGAACACCGUUCUCGAAGGCGGCUUGCGAGCAUGGUACUGACGCUGAGGCACGAAGGCGUGGGGAUCGAAC